rnacentral:lncRNA from 1 species
AGCAAUGUAGCGCUCUCUCUGUGCGUCAUCUCUAUAGGCCACGUUCAUAUCAUCGAAAUCCUGCAUCAUGUAGAAGUUAGGAAAGUGAUCUUGAAAAUAUAAACCAUUCAAAUAUUUAGUCUCGGUGAAAAAUAAAAAUAAAAUUAAAUAAAUGCGAAAAAGUAAAAUGAAAAAAAAAUCAUGGGUUGCCUCCCACACAGCGCUUGUUUAACGUCAUUAGCUUGACGAUUAGAAUUUAUACACCUGUAGUAGUAGGAAUUGGUGGAUCAAUCAGAGUGUGGCUUGAGUAGUAUGCUGGAAUGUCUCCUCCUU